rnacentral:rRNA from 1 species
GACGAACGCUGGCGGCGUGCUUAACACAUGCAAGUCGAACGGAAAGGCACUGCUUGCAGGGUAUUCGAGUGGCGAACGGGUGAGUAACACGUGGGUGAUCUGCCCUGCACUUCGGGAUAAGCCUGGGAAACUGGGUCUAAUACCGGAUAGGAGCCAUUUUUAGUGUGAUGGUUGGAAAGUUUUUUCGGUGUAGGAUGAGCUCGCGGCCUAUCAGCUUGUUGGUGGGGUAAUGGCCUACCAAGGCGGCGACGGGUAGCCGGCCUGAGAGGGUGGACGGCCACAUUGGGACUGAGAUACGGCCCAGACUCCUACGGGAGGCAGCAGUGGGGAAUAUUGCACAAUGGGCGCAAGCCUGAUGCAGCGACGCCGCGUGGGGGAUGACGGCCUUCGGGUUGUAAACUCCUUUCGCUAGGGACGAAGCUUUUUGUGACGGUACCUAGAUAAGAAGCACCGGCUAACUACGUG